rnacentral:tRNA from 1 species
CAAUUAAAGGAAGCGUUUUCAAAUUUGCAAUCUGAUGUGUAACUCACUACGAGGCU